CAUAGACAUCUUAUAAUAGGCCUUAAGAUGAACCCGUUUUCGUUUUAUCUCGUUCCCAUGUCUAGGCUCUAAAUCAUUUUUGGUUCUUAAAAACUAUAUUUUGGUUUUCAAAGAGAAAAAAAAAGUUCUCCACUGGACAUCCAGGCAAAUGUUGUAUAUUAGUGUUAAAGUCGGGACUAUUUCUUGCUUGGCGUAACAAUAUUUUCGUCCCAAGAGGUGACGUUUUUGUCACGUGCUUCACAUUCGACCAAUCAGAUAGCCGCGCAGAUCCAAGAUGGCGAUGUCAACAACGUUUAGUGAUGAAGAGGAAAAACUCUAAAACAGCUGAAACACCUUAAAAAAGUUCGAAAAAAGAACAACAAAAUAUGCUACAUGCAUGUUACGUCUGUAGGAAUGAAAAGGUGAAUGAUUUCACUAUCACAAGGUGGGAUACUUACAGGAAUUGUUUAAAACGGUGGCUUUGCUGUGAUGGCGAGUCUCAUAAAGUAGCCGAGACAUUCAAAUCCUGUAUCGAUGUUGAAUUUAAAGACAUUCCUGAUGACGCUGGGCUUCACCCGACUUGUUACCGGCGGUUCAUUGAUAAGAAGCGUUUGAAUUCUGCAGAAAAACUGGCCAAACGGCUGGAUGUGGGUCAAGAUGAGUUUGUGGCAUCGGACAACGCUCAGGCUCGACAAGUGACAUUCCAAAGAAAAAACUAAGAUCGAAGACGGGCCUGCCUAUCGGUUCUGCUGGCCCUGUGCUCCCUGACAUUUGGAUCAUUUGCAAGAAAACGGACAAGAGAGUUACUGUGGGAGGCUAACGGCAGAAGGACCAUCUUUCACAGGCACAAACGCUUUCAGCAGGCCAGUUGAUGAACGCUGCCAGGAUAAAGCAAGACAGUAGCAUUCUCUUGCAUAUUGAAGACAAAGACUGUGUGGCCAUGGAGGUGCGGUACCACAAGUCCUGCUACAGACAGUACACCAGGUUCAUGACAAAGUCUGAUGUAACAGUUACUGGAACCGCAGAUGAAGUAAGUGAACCAACCUUUGAUGCCAGCUAAUACAUAUUCUGCCAAAGAGUAAUUGUUAAUCAGGAGGUGCUGAGAAUGAACCAGCUACGACAAAUGUUUUUAAAUACGGUGCAAAAACAUGAAGAUUGUGAUGCUUCAAACUACAGGCAGGAUCAAUUAAAGAGAAGGCUGACUCUGGACUUUCCCCAACUGAUCAGGAAAGCGCAACAUCUGCGAACUGGUUUUUGUUGAGACAUUGUCUGCAAAGCUGAUAGACAGGCUACCUCAUCCAUCAGGUACAGACACAACUGAGUCAACUGAAGUAAGCCAAGGUGAAAGUGACACUAAACACAUGGCAAGAACAACAGCUGGUCCGCAAACUACUGAGAACACAAGGACACUUAAUAGUGCAGCGCUGAUUUUGAAGCAGCUACUAUGUGACUCUCCCGGUAUGACGUGCCCCUGGCCACCCACAUCAGAUGAAUUAAAUGUGUCCGAUGCAAAAUCUGUUGUGCCACUUGAACUGUACAAUGUUAUUGCUUGGAUUGUAGGUGCAACAGAAGAACCAACUGUAUGUUGAUAUUCCAGAAGAUGUGAACCUAAAAGUGAUAUCUGUUUGUCAAGACAUUAUGUAUCUUGCAUCUAGAGGUCGGAGGCAGACACCCAAAUCAUUAUGUCUUGGUCUAAGUAUUCGGCAUUUAACAGGUUCCUCACAAGUGGUGUUACUGCUGAGUGGACUAGGACAUUGUGCUUCAUGGGACACAGUUCUCAGUCUAGACACUAGCCUUGCCCAACUACAACUACUAGAGGGCAGAGACAAAAAUCCCGAUUGGAUUCUCGAAGAAGACUCCUACAAUACUGGUGUGGGACAAUAUUGACUUUGGGGAGGAGACACUGUCAGGUUGUGGAACUACUCACCAUUCACCCAAUGGCAAUGGAUGGCCCAUUGAGGAUGGGGAGUUAAAAGUUACAUGGAUGACUACAAAUCCUGCCCCUGAUAGUGUGUUAAAGGUAAUCCACUGCAGCUGCAAGCAGAGCAAAUGUGAGACAGGAAGAUGUUCUUGUAUGUCUGCAAGACUGUCCUGUACUGAUUUGUGUCAGUGCCAAAAUUGUGCCAAUAUUUCCAUGGAAACAGAGGAUAAAAGCACAUGAAAAGAUGGCUCUGAUGAUAGUGAUAACUAAGAGAUGAACAAUGUCUCCCUCUUUCAGAAUACGCAAAGUCACACUUAAUCAGUUAGUCCUCUAAUAAAAAUUUUAGUUUUUGCCACAUUUGAGAAAAAUCCCUCAGAGUAUUUUACUAUUUCUUUUUUUUUAGUUACUUAAGUUAAAUACUUUAAAAAUAGAAUGUGAGGUUACAGUGCACUUGACCUUAAAACAAUUAUAAUAAUCAUAGUUUGAGUUUGUGCCAAAUUUGAGGAAAAUCUAAUCUAAGAAUUCUUGAGAUAUGGCUUUUACAAUGUGCAAAGUUAAGACAAAAUAAUUAAAAAAAAAUAUUUAAAAAAAUACCUCAGACCUGCUGUGACAUCAUCGCAUUGUUUUGUUCACGUAAAUAUUGUUUUAUACCAUAUUGUGUACAGAUUCUAAACUGUAAUACAGUUUUUGUUGUAUUUCCAUUUUUCGGCAAUAUUCGAUAUUUUGAUUGAUGUCAGCCAUUUUGGGCCUAAGUGUUAUUUAUUUUAUUUUAUUUUUUACUUCCUCUUAUCAGUAUCUACUGAAAUUUUUAUUGUAUAAAACAUAAUUGUUUAGCAAAAUGUACCAUGUGUAUGGUACAGGUUGUAUUCACUUAUUUUGAAGCGUUUUUUCAUUUUUUUCGUAUGUUUCAUGGUUUAAAUUAAAAUUAAAGUAUACCAAUGCUAAAAUACUUGUCUCAAAUGUUAGGUAUAUGUAUUAAUGUCAAUUUGUGAGAGAGAUUCUGUUUCCAGAAUGAAUGUAAAUACAUUUACAAGAAAAAUCAGCUGCAUAAGAUUUUCGUUUUUUUGUAAUUCCUAUUUUUAUACAUUUAUGGCUCUAAAAAAAACGCCAGGAUAUUUUGCGGAGAACUUUUAACAUAAUGUCCACAAUGGCAUUGUCUAUGCAAAAAUGCAAAAAAAAGAGUUGUGCCCAGACGUGGGAACGAAAAUCACUUUCUAGCCACUUUUUCCUGGUUCACCUCAUGGCCUAUAAGUAGACGCAGCAUCGACCGCUACUGCCUACGUGGACGCAUGUGAAAAAGUGCAAUAUAUUUAU